rnacentral:rRNA from 1 species
UACGUAGGGGGCAAGCGUUGUCCGGAAUCAUUGGGCGUAAAGCGCGUGUAGGCGGCCCGGUAAGUCCGCUGUGAAAGUCGGGGGCUCAACCCUCGGAUGCCGGUGGAUACUGUCGGGCUAGAGUGCGGAAGAGGCGAGUGGAAUUCCUGGUGUAGCGGUGAAAUGCGCAGAUAUCAGGAGGGAACACCGGUGGCGAAGGCGGGUCUCUGGGCCGAUACUGACGCUGGAGGAGCGAAAGCGUGGGGAGCGAACAGG